UUUUGGCGGCGGACUACACAUGCAAGUCGAGCGGUAGCACAGAGAGCUUGCUCUCGGGUGACGAGCGGCGGACGGGUGAGUAAUGUCUGGGAAACUGCCUGAUGGAGGGGGAUAACUACUGGAAACGGUAGCUAAUACCGCAUAACGUCGCAAGACCAAAGUGGGGGACCUUCGGGCCUCAUGCCAUCAGAUGUGCCCAGAUGGGAUUAGCUGGUAGGUGGGGUAACGGCUCACCUAGGCGACGAUCCCUAGCUGGUCUGAGAGGAUGACCAGCCACACUGGAACUGAGACACGGUCCAGACUCCUACGGGAGGCAGCAGUGGGGAAUAUUGCACAAUGGGCGCAAGCCUGAUGCAGCCAUGCCGCGUGUGUGAAGAAGGCCUUCGGGUUGUAAAGCACUUUCAGCGGGGAGGAAGGCGAUAAGGUUAAUAACCUUGUCGAUUGACGUUACCCGCAGAAGAAGCACCGGCUAACUCCGUGCCAGCAGCCGCGGUAAUACGGAGGGUGCAAGCGUUAAUCGGAAUUACUGGGCGUAAAGCGCACGCAGGCGGUCUGUCAAGUCGGAUGUGAAAUCCCCGGGCUCAACCUGGGAACUGCAUUCGAAACUGGCAGGCUAGAGUCUUGUAGAGGGGGGUAGAAUUCCAGGUGUAGCGGUGAAAUGCGUAGAGAUCUGGAGGAAUACCGGUGGCGAAGGCGGCCCCCUGGACAAAGACUGACGCUCAGGUGCGAAAGCGUGGGGAGCAAACAGGAUUAGAUACCCUGGUAGUCCACGCUGUAAACGAUGUCGAUUUGGAGGUUGUGCCCUUGAGGCGUGGCUUCCGGAGCUAACGCGUUAAAUCGACCGCCUGGGGAGUACGGCCGCAAGGUUAAAACUCAAAUGAAUUUGACGGGGGCCCGCACAAGCGGUGGAGCCAUGUGGUUUAAUUCGAUGCAACGCGAAGAACCUUACCUGGUCUUGACAUCCACAGAACUUUCCAGAAGAGGGAUUGGUGCCUUCGGGAACUGUGAGACAGGUGCUGCAUGGCUGUCGUCAGCUCGUGUUGUGAAAUGUUGGGUUAAGUCCCGCAACGAGCGCAACCCUUAUCCUUUGUUGCCAGCGGUUAGGCCGGGAACUCAAAGGAGACUGCCAGUGAUAAACUGGAGGAAGGUGGGGAUGACGUCAAGUCAUCAUGGCCCUUACGACCAGGGCUACACACGUGCUACAAUGGCAUAUACAAAGAGAAGCGACCUCGCGAGAGCAAGCGGACCUCAUAAAGUAUGUCGUAGUCCGGAUUGGAGUCUGCAACUCGACUCCAUGAAGUCGGAAUCGCUAGUAAUCGUAGAUCAGAAUGCUACGGUGAAUACGUUCCCGGGCCUUGUACACACCGCCCGUCACACCAUGGGAGUGGGUUGCAAAAGAAGUAGGUAGCUUAACCUUCGGGAGGGCGCUACCACUUUGAUAAAGGC
rnacentral:rRNA from 2 species